GAUGAACGCUAGCGGCAGGCUUAAUACAUGCAAGUUGAGGGGCAGCAUGAUAUACGCGAGUAUAUUGAUGGCGACCGGCGGACGGGUGAGUAAUAGGUAGGAGACCUACCUCAUACAGGGGGAUAGCAUAGAGAAAUCUGUGGUAAUACCCCAUGAGGUUAUAUGAAUAGAGGCAUAUAAUCAAAGCAUAAGCGAUUAUGCGGUAUGAGAGGGGCCUACUGACCAUUAGCUAGUUGGUGAGGUAAGGGCUCACCAAGGCGAAGAUGGUUAGGGGUUUUGAGAGAGAGACCCCCCACAUUGGAACUGAGAGACGGUCCAGACUCCUACGGGAGGCAGCAGUAGGGAAUAUUGGGCAAUGGGCGAAAGCCUGACCCAGCCAUGCCGCGUGAAGGAAGACGGCCUUAUGGGUUGUAAACUUCUUUACUACGCGAAUAGAGGUUAGUACGAGAUACUAAUAGGAAGGUAGUGUAGUAAAAAGCACCGGCUAACUCCGUGCCG
rnacentral:rRNA from 1 species